rnacentral:rRNA from 1 species
GGGAACACCUGCUGAAUUUAAGCAUAUAAGUUGGCAGAGGAUGAGAUACACAACUGGAUUGGCACAGUAGUUGCGAAUGAACAGCAAAUUGCUCAAAUUGAAUUUGGGGACACCUGGCCCUCAACAUGAAAUCUCUGAAUGCUCCACCAACAAAGGCUCAGGAACAAAACCAUUCUGGAGGGGAUUGUGAAAGUGCCAACAGGGGUGAGAAUCCUGUGGUUCUUGCAGACCUUGUUCACGGUGUCUGCUUUCCAGAGUCAUGCUCCUUGGAACUGGAGUGCAAAGUGGGUGGUAGCUUCCACACAAAGGCAAACACACCACUGAGACUGACAGUGAAGAAGUACCGUGAGGGAAGUAUGAAAAGGACUUUGGAAAGAGAUUUAAAAGAGCCUGCACUUGCUGGACAACAAGCAUACAGAAUGAUCGUGUGAUUGGACAGAUUGCUGUGUGAAUACAGGUAACAAUCCUGUGCUGCAUGCGGAGAUUCUUUCUUGGUGUGCCAACUAGUGUGAGAGCAGUCAGUAUCUGUGGGCAGUGCUUGGGGUGUGUCUUGUGUCACAUGUGAUUGUAUGUACCUGGUCUGAACAUGUGAAACUGCAUCUACUGGCAAUGAAGAGUUAUGCAUGCAGUUGCUUUCACCAACGGUUCACCUUGUCAACGACAUGGGUGCCUUUCUGUGUGACCCGUCUUGAAACACGGACCAAGGAGUCUAGGCAGUAUGCAAGCUUGGGGGUGACAAACUCUGAGCACAAUGAAGCUGGAGUCCCGGAAAUGGCAGGGGUGUUCAACCAAGCAACAGGACAAGGUUUGAGUCUGAGCACACUUGUUAGGACCCGAAAGAUGGUGAACUAUGCCUGAAAAGGGCCAAGCCAGGGGAAACUCUGGUGGAGGCUUGCAGCGGUACUGACGUGCAAAUCGUUCGUCACACUUGGGUAUAGGGGCGAAAGACUAAUCGAACCAUC